UGGAGACAUAGUGGAGGUUAGUCAAGGAGACAGGUGGUGCGAUGGUUGUCGUCAGCUCGUGUCGUGAGAUGUUGGGUUAAGUCCCGCAACGAGCGCAACCCUUAUUGCUAGUUACCAUCAUUAAGUUGGGGACUCUAGCGAGGCUGCCGGUGACAAACCGGAGGAAGGUGGGGAUGACGUCAAGUCCUCAUGGCCCUUAUAGGUGGGGCUACACACGUCAUACAAUGGCCGGUACAAAGGGCAGCCAACCCGCGAGGGGGAGCCAAUCCCAUAAAGCCGGUCGUAGUCCGGAUCGCAGUCUGCAACUCGACUGCGUGAAGUCGGAAUCGCUAGUAAUCGUGGAUCAGCAUGUCACGGUGAAUACGUUCCCGGGUCUU
rnacentral:rRNA from 1 species